rnacentral:misc_RNA from 1 species
AAGUCGUAACAAGGUUUCCGUAGGUGAACCUGCGGAAGGAUCAUUACCGAGUGAGGACCCGUCGGGUCCAACCUCCCACCCGUGUCUACGUACCUGGUUGCUUCGGCGGACCCGCCCCUAGGGGCCCCCGGGGACUAACCCCCCCGGCCUGCGUCCGCCGAGGACUAAAAACUCGUGUCUGAAGAGUGCCGUCUGAGCAAGAAGCGAAAUCAGUCAAAACUUUCAACAACGGAUCUCUUGGUUCCG